GACGAACGCUGGCGGCGUGCUUAACACAUGCAAGUCGAACGGAAAGGUCCUGCUUUUGUGGGGUGCUCGAGUGGCGAACGGGUGAGUAACACGUGAGUAACCUGCCCUUGACUUUGGGAUAACUUCAGGAAACUGGGGCUAAUACCGGAUAGGAGCUCCUGCUGCAUGGUGGGGGUUGGAAAGUUUCGGCGGUUGGGGAUGGACUCGCGGCUUAUCAGCUUGUUGGUGGGGUAGUGGCUUACCAAGGCUUUGACGGGUAGCCGGCCUGAGAGGGUGACCGGCCACAUUGGGACUGAGAUACGGCCCAGACUCCUACGGGAGGCAGCAGUGGGGAAUAUUGCACAAUGGGCGGAAGCCUGAUGCAGCAACGCAGCGUGCGGGAUGACGGCCUUCGGGUUGUAAACCGCUUUCGCCUGUGACGAAGCGUGAGUGACGGUAAUGGGUAAAGAAGCACCGGCUAACUACGUG
rnacentral:rRNA from 1 species